rnacentral:ncRNA from 1 species
AAAAUUUUAAUUUAAGAUUAAAUAAUUAGUUAUAUAAAUUUUUUAUAUAAAAAUUUUGGUGAUUAAAUAUUUUUUAUAAGUAUUUAAUUUAAUAUUUAAUUUAUAAUAUUAAUUAAUAUAUGAAAAUGUAUUUUAGAUAUUUAUUUAAUUGUUAUAUUAUAAUGUGCCAGCAUAUGCGGUUAUACAUUAGAUAAUAAUUAAUUUAAUUAAUUAUAUUGAAGUAUUAUUAAUUAUAGAGUGAGUUUAUUUUAUAGAAUAUAUUGUGGUGAAAUAGUUAAUAUAUUUUGUUAAAUUAAUUAUAGAUGAUUAAAAUAGUAAAGUUAAGUUUAGUGAAUAGGAUUAGAUACCCUAUUAAUUUAAAUUAAUAUUUAAUUUAAUGAAUAAGUUUAAUAAAUUUAAAAUUAUUAAAUUUGGCGGUAUUAAUAUUUAAUUAGAGGAACUUGUUUAUUAAUUGAUAAUCCACGAAUAGAUAAACUAAUUAGAUUUUAUGUAUUGUUGUUUAAAAUUAUAUUAAAAUGUAUAGUUGAGAUAUAGAAAAUUUAUAGUAAUUCAAAUCAAAAUGUAGAUUUUAAUUAGAUUAAGUGAGUUACAAUUAAUUAUAUUAUUGGAGUUUAAAUUUAAGUUUAAAUUGAAAUUGGAUUUAAUAGUAAAAUUAAAUUAAAUUUUUAAUUUGAUUAAUAAUAAUAUGUACAAAUUGCCCGUCAUUUUCAAUCAAGUUGAAAGAAGUCGUAACAAAGUAGAAGUACUGGAAAGUGUUUUUAGAUUAAA